AACGAACGCUGGCGGCAGGCCUAACACAUGCAAGUCGAGCGGACCCUUCGGGGUUAGCGGCGGACGGGUGAGUAACGCGUGGGAACGUGCCCUUUGCUCCGGAAUAGCCCUGGGAAACUGGGAGUAAUACCGGAUACGCCCUUUUGGGGAAAGAUUUAUCGGCGAAGGAUCGGCCCGCGUUGGAUUAGGUAGUUGGUGGGGUAAUGGCCUACCAAGCCGACGAUCCAUAGCUGGUUUGAGAGGAUGAUCAGCCACACUGGGACUGAGACACGGCCCAGACUCCUACGGGAGGCAGCAGUGGGGAAUCUUAGACAAUGGGGGAAACCCUGAUCUAGCCAUGCCGCGUGAGCGAUGAAGGCCUUAGGGUUGUAAAGCUCUUUCACCGGGGAAGAUAAUGACGGUACCCGGAGAAGAAGCCCCGGCUAACUCCGUG
rnacentral:rRNA from 1 species